AGACCGAAAAAUGAAAACCCCAACUUCACAAACCCUAGGGAUAUCUUCAAAACACCCUUUCCUAACCAUACAGUCGUCGCUCCUCUCAACCAGAUCAGCCGCCCACCACCAAAAAAAAGGAUCAGCAGCAAACACAAAAACCAAGUGACACACUUAUUCCCUUAUCUCUCGUCUUCCUCAAUAGAAGCCAUAGCCGUACACAAUCAAAAGGAAAAUCAAUCUCCUCUAGUCUUCAAUGGUAUUUCAAAUUCAAAAAUUCAUAAAGCAUCCCUAAUUUCUUCUUCUGGAUUUCGAUUUCAAAAAACAAGGUGAAGCUGGAAUAGGAGUCCGAUUAUGGGAGUUGCUGUUGGAGUUUUGUUUCCGGUCGAGUUCCGAUUCCAGUCCCGAAUUAGUUUGUUUUUGUCUUGUUCAUUUCCUGUUGCACGCUCAAAUUUCGGCGUUGGAAAUAUGUUUGUAUUCGCUUCUUCAGCUAAUUAACUGAGAAUUCAAUCUAAGGUAUGAAUCCAUUUACCAGAGCUCGAGCAUGACAGAUAUCCCAGGACCAUUCCAGUCUGGACCGUUGCAGACAUAAGUUGCUUGUGGAGACUUUUUAUAUUUCUGAGUCUGUUUUCAUGUUUUCUUUUACUUUCUAAUCCUGUCUAGUAGUGUUCAGUCCUUUAGUUGGUGUCAGAGUUUUUCGUAGUAUAGUUGAGUUCGUCGAAUCUUUUGUUAUCGUAUUUCCUAUUUUGUAUGUGAAAACCCAAAAAAAUUUAAAUAAAAAAAUCCAAAAAGUUUUUUUA